rnacentral:rRNA from 1 species
UACGACUACAUAUCAGGCAUAUCAAUAAGCGGAGGAAAAGAAACUAACUAGGAUUCCCUCAGUAACGGCGAGUGAAGCGGGAAGAGCUCAAAUUUGAAAUCUUCAAGGUUCUACCUUGACGAAUUGUAGUUUAAAGAAGUGUUUUCUGUUGGAGUCUUGGUAAAAGUUCUUUGGAAUAGGACAUCAUAGAGGGUGAGAAUCCCGUAUUUGACCAUUAUUUCCAGCUGUGUGAUACACUUUCAAAGAGUCGGAUUGUUUGGGAAUGCAGUCCAAAAUGGGUGGUAAAUUUCAUCUAAAGCUAAAUAUUGGCGAGAGACCGAUAGCGAACAAGUACCGUGAGGGAAAGAUGAAAAGAACUUUGAAAGGAGAGUUAAACAGUACGUGAAAUUGUCAAAAGGGAAGCGUUUGACACCAGUGUUGUUUUCUCGAAAAUCAAUUAAAAAUAGCUUGAUUUUGUGUUGUAUUGACCUUAAAAGCUUUCUUCACUCUUUUCAUGUCUUUUUUAAUGCACUUUUCGUUUAACAAGUCAACAUCAGUUUCUUUUGUUGUAAAAAGGUCAUUGGAAGGUGGCUUUCUUUUCGGAGAAAGUGUUUAUAGCCUUUGACUCCUGCAAUCGGAGAGACUGGGGUCUGCGGCGUAGAUCCUUCUUGGAUUAGAUUCAUUUGUGCUAAGUUAUAGCUUUUCAUAGACAACUUGUUGACUAUGUUUAGUCUUGUAGCUUACUCGCUUAUGUAAUUUUACCUACGCUUAGGAUGUUGAAUCUGUGCGAGACUAC